rnacentral:rRNA from 1 species
UACGUAGGGGGCAAGCGUUGUCCGGAAUUAUUGGGCGUAAAGCGCGCGCAGGCGGUAAUGUAAGUUGGGUGUUUAAACCUAGGGCUCAACCUUGGGUCGCACCCAAAACUGCAUCACUUGAGUGCAGCAGAGGAAAGUGGAAUUCCACGUGUAGCGGUGAAAUGCGUAGAGAUCCGGAGGAACACCAGAGGCGAAGGCGGCCUGCUGGGCUGCACCUGACGCUGAACCGCGAAAGCCAGGGGAGCGAACGGG